AGUUCCUGUAGUCUUCCAACUUGGUAAUGACCUGAUCUAACUUCAUCAUUCAAUACUAGAGGUUCUUUUAUUGGUUAUGAUGGGAGAUGAAGUCCAACGCAUCUGAAGAGCACCGAUUUGGAGAAAUCUGUUUGAAGCAAAGAAUUGUCCUUAUGAAGGCCAUAUUAAUGAAGAUUGGGGAAAAACCAAAACAGAAGCACCCAUACCGCCAGAUGGUUCUCUGAUGUUUAUCAUAAACCAGUGAUUACUGUAAGUAGAGGACCAGCAUUAAGGCAAUAGAUCCAAGUCAUCAGAGAAUGCAGCAUAGUCCCACUUUAAGGGGACAACAGAUCCCAGGUUCCAAUAAUGAAAAAAAAACAAAAACAAGCAAACUAUAAAGAACAAUGUCCACGAAAGGAAGAGUAUGAAAGUCCUGUGCAGACAUCAAGGAGACAUCAGCAUGUUUUACAUACAACGAAACACUGAUCCUGUGCCACUCAUCUUG